AGUGGCGGACGGGUGAGUAUAACGUAGGAAUCUACCUUAAAGUGUGGAAUAGCCGGCCGAAAGGCCGGGUAAUACCGCAUGUGAUCGCAAGAUUAAAGGCCAUAACUGGCCGCUUUAAGAGGAGCCUGCGUCCUAUCAGCUAGUUGGCGGGGUAAAAGCCCACCAAGGCGAUGACGGGUAGGGGGUGUGAGAGCACGACCCCCCACAAGGUCACUGAGACACGGGACCUACACCUACGGGUGGCAGCAACUGGGAAUCUUGCGCAAUGGACGAAAGUCUGACGCAGCGACACCGCGUGUGGGAUGAAGUAUUUCGGUAUGUAAACCACUGUGGCGAGGGAUAAAGAUCUGAUAGUACCUCGCUAGAAAGCAUCUGCUAACUACGUGCCAGAAGCCUCGGCAAUGCGUGGGAUGCAAGCGUUAUCCGGAUUUACUGGGCGUAAAGGGUUUCGCAGGCGGAUUGUUAAGUCUAGUCUUAAAUACUGGGGCUCAACCCCAGCUACAGGAUUGGAUACUGGCAGUCUUGAGGAUAUCAGGGGGAACUGGAACACUCGGUGGAGGGGUGAAAUCCGUUGAGAUCGAGUGGAACGCCAAUGGCGAAGGCAGGUUCCUGGGGUAUUCCUGACGCUCAGGUACGAAAGCUAGGGUAGCAAACGGGAUUAGAGACCCCGGUAGUCCUAGCCGUAAACAAUGAAUACUAG
rnacentral:rRNA from 1 species